ACGAGAAUAUUCGACAAUGCACGAAAGUGUGAUCGAGGGAUGCCGCGUGCAGGAAGAAGCUCCUUGGAGUGUAAACUGCUUUUGCGUGGGAAGAACUUUGACGGUACCACGAGAAUAAGGGGUUGCUAACUCUGUGCCAGCAGCAGCGGUAAUACAGAGACCCCUAGCGUUAUCCGGAAUUACUGGGCGUAAAGCGUGAGCAGCUGGUUGUAUUAGUCCGGUGUUAAAUCUUUGGGCUUAACUCAAAGACCGCAUUGGAAACGGUACAACUAGAACAGAUGAGAGGUAGGCGGAACGUGCAGUGUAGGGGUGAAAUCCAUUGAUAUUGCACGGAACACCAAAAGCGAAGGCAGCCUACUGGCGUCUUGUUGACAGUCAAUCACGAAAGCGUGGGGAUCAA
rnacentral:rRNA from 1 species